rnacentral:misc_RNA from 1 species
AACGCACAUUGCGCCCCUUGGUAUUCCAUGGGGCAUGCCUGUUCGAGCGUCAUCUACACCCUCAAGCUCUGCUUGGUGUUGGGCGUCUGUCCCGCCUCCGCGCGCGGACUCGCCCCAAAUCCAUUGGCAGCGUCCUAAUGACCCCUGUAAGUGCAGCACAUUGCGCGUGUAGGGGGUCGCCUGGGCGCGAUCCAGCAAGAUCACCACCGUCGUUGACCUCGGAUCAGGUAGGGAUACCCGCUGAACUUAA